AUGAGCUCCGGCGAGCCGGUGAAGCUGCUGGGCUCGUUCGGGAGCCCGUUCACGAAGCAGGCCGAGGCGGCGCUCCGGCUGAAGGGGGACGUCGAGGAGGACGAGUUCAUCGAGGAGGACGUCGGCAACAAGACAGCCCUGCUGCUCGCCAGCAACCCGGUCCACAAGAAGGUGCCGCUUCUCCUCCACGGCGGCCGCGCCGUCGCCGAGUCGCUCGUCAUCGUCGAGUACGUCGACCAGGCCUUCCCCGAGCCGCCGCUAGUCCCCGCAGACCCGCUCGCCAGCGCCGAGGCCCGGUUCUGGGCGCAAGCGGAGGAGACAAGGGCGAACCUGGCGCUGCUGGAGGCGCGGCUGCAGGGGUGGCGGUUCUUCGGGGGAGAAGCGGUCGGGUACCUCGACCUCGCCACCAGCGCACUCGCGGCCUGGCUGCCCGUGCUGGAGGAGCUCGCCGGAGUCGGAGCGGAGGGCACGCUGAUGGGCGAGGAGGAGUUCCCGGCCCUGUGCCAGUCUGCCCAGUGGCGGAGCGAGUACACUUCCGACGAGGCCGUGCGGGCGUGCCUACCGAGCCGGAGCAGCUCGUCGCCUACUAUGCCGCCAAGAAGGACGGCUUCGUCGUCAGAGGCAAGUCGCUGCAGAAGCAAUGAGUCGAGCUGA
rnacentral:rRNA from 1 species